rnacentral:rRNA from 1 species
AGAAACGGCUACCACAUCCAAGGAAGGCAGCAGGCGCGCAAAUUACCCACUCCCGGCUCGGGGAGGUAGUGACGAAAAAUAACAAUACGGGACUCUUUUGAGACCCCGUAAUUGGAAUGAGUACACUCUAAAUCCUUUAACGAGGAUCCAUUGGAGAGCAAGUCUGGUGCCAGCCGUCGCGGUAAUUCCAGCUCCAAUAGCGUAUAUUAAAGUUGUUGCGGUUAAAAAGCUCGUAGUUGGAUCUCAGCUCCGGCCGGGCGGUCCACCUUUCGGUGGUUACUGCUUGACGCCGAGCGUUUCGGCGGUUAUUCUUGAUGAUCUUCACCGGUUGUCUCGGGUGACCGCCAAGUUUACUUUGAAAAAAUUAGAGUGCUCAAAGCAGACGUGACGUCUGAAUAAUUGUGCAUGGAAUAAUGGAAUAGGACCUCGGUUCUAUUUUGUUGGUUUUCGGAACACGAGGUAAUGAUUAAGAGGGACAGACGGGGGCAUUCGUAUUGCGACGCUAGAGGUGAAAUUCUUGGACCGUCGCAAGACGAACUACUGCGAAAGCAUUUGCCAAGAAUGUUUCCAUUAAUCAAGAACGAAAGUUAGAGGUUCGAAGGCGAUCAGAUACCGCCCUAGUUCUAACCAUAAACGAUGCCAGCCAGCAAUCCGCCUGUGUUCCUCAAAUGACACGGCGGGCGGCUUCCGGGAAACCAAAGCUUUUGGGUUCCGGGGGAAGUAUGGUUGCAAAGCUGAAACUUAAAGGAAUUGACGGAAGGCCACACCAGAAAUGGAGCCUGCGGCUUAAUUUGACUCAACACGGGGAAACUCACCCGGUCCGGACACAGGAAGGAUUGACAGAUUAAGAGCUCUUUCUUGAUUCUGUGGGGAGUGGUGCAUGGCCGUUCGUAGUUGGUGGGGCGACUUGUCUGGU